GAUGAACGCUGGCGGCGUGCCUAAUACAUGCAAGUCGAGCGAACAGACGAGGAGCUUGCUCCUCUGACGUUAGCGGCGGACGGGUGAGUAACACGUGGAUAACCUACCUAUAAGACUGGGAUAACUUCGGGAAACCGGAGCUAAUACCGGAUAAUAUAUUGAACCGCAUGGUUCAAUAGUGAAAGACGGUUUUGCUGUCACUUAUAGCUGGAUCCGCGCCGCAUUAGCUAGUUGGUAAGGUAACGGCUUACCAAGGCAACGAUGCGUAGCCGACCUGAGAGGGUGAUCGGCCACACUGGAACUGAGACACGGUCCAGACUCCUACGGGAGGCAGCAGUAGGGAAUCUUCCGCGAUGGGCGAAAGCCUGACGGAGCAACGCCGCGUGAGUGAUGAAGGUCUUCGGAUCGUAAAACGCUGUUAUUAGGGAAGAACAUAUGUGUAAGUAACUGUGCACAUCUUGACGGUACCUAAUCAGAAAGCCACGGCUAACUACGUG
rnacentral:rRNA from 1 species